AGUGGCGCACGGGUGCGUAACGCGUGGGAACGUACCCCCAGGUAUGGGACAACACAGGGAAACUUGUGCUAAUACCGUAUAUGGCUCCGGCUAAAAGCUCCGGCGCCUGGGGAUCGGCCCGCGUCUGAUUAGCUAGUUGGUGAGGUAAUGGCUCACCAAGGCAACGAUCAGUAGCUGGUCUGAGAGGAUGAUCAGCCACACUGGGACUGAGACACGGCCCAGACUCCUACGGGAGGCAGCAGUGAGGAAUAUUGGACAAUGGAGGCAACUCUGAUCCAGCCAUGCCGCGUGAGUGAUGAAGGCCUUCGGGUUGUAAAGCUCUUUUAGAUGUGACGAUGAUGACGGUAACAUCAGAAAAAGCCCCGGCUAACUUCGUGCCAGCAGCCGCGGUAAUACGAAGGGGGCGAGCGUUGUUCGGAAUCACUGGGCUUAAAGCGUGCGUAGGCGGAAAUGUAAGUCAGAAGUGAAAUCCCAGGGCUUAACCCUGGAACUGCUUUUGAGACUGCAUUUCUGGAAUCCGGUAGAGGUUAGUGGAAUGUCCAGUGUAGAGGUGAAAUUCGCAGAUAUUGGACGGAACACCAGUGGCGAAGGCGACUAACUGGACCGGUAUUGACGCUGAGGUACGAAAGCGUGGGUAGCAAACAGGAUUAGAUACCCUGGUAGUCCACGCCGU
rnacentral:rRNA from 1 species